UUGUUCGCACCUGGGAUCUGACUUGCGUUCUCCCAGACCUAGUAAAGCAACAUUUAGCAAGACCAUCAGCUAAUUUGUAUGCUCAUUGAUGUCUGAGAGUCUGGUGAAGUGAUUCUCAAUAGCAGCCAUUUGCGCCUCUAGGAGACACUUGUCAGUAUCUGGACACAUUUUUGGUCCUACAGUUGGUGUCUAUGUGCAUCUCCCUGAUAGGCAGAGGCCACAGGAAUGGUGCAAAACAUCCUACAAUUCACAGGACCAUCUCCUUGUGUCUUCAAAGAAUUCUGCCUGAAACACCAGUGGUAUAGAAGUUAAGAAACCCUACACUGAGAAACCACUGUAAAGGGUCUGCCUGCUCCAGCCCGAGUUCUCCCGUUCUUCUGCCUUGAGAUGAUGUUGGUGCUUACCCUGGAGGACCUGCACGAGGUGAUAUGCCUCCUCCUUUUGGGAACUACUAUGAACUUCCACGGGAUCUGGAAGUGGUGUUCAGGGAGAAGUUUGCAACAUUCUUGCUUUGGGUGAAGAGUCCUUACCAGCAGGGCUGACACAGGGCAUGGCUCAGACUUGGAACCUCUUUUCAUUUUUAAAUUUUUUUUUCCCCUCCAGGGUUAUUGCUGGGCUUGGUGCCUGCACCAUGAAUCCACCGCUCCUGGAGGCCAUUUUUCCCCCCUUUGCUGCCCUUGUUGCCGUAGCCUCGUUGUGGUUAUUAUUAUUACCACUGUUGAUGUUCGUUGUUGGAUAGGACAGAGAGAAAUGGAGAGAGAGGGGAAGACAGAGAGGAGGAGAGAAAGACAGACACCUGCAGACCUGCUUCACUGCCUGUGAAGCGACUCCCC